rnacentral:rRNA from 1 species
CCUACGGGUGGCAGCAGUGGGGAAUAUUGCACAAUGGGCGCAAGCCUGAUGCAGCCAUGCCGCGUGCAUGAAGAAGGCCUUCGGGUUGUAAAGUACUUUCAGCGGGGAGGAAGGCGAUAAGGUUAAUAACCUUGUCGAUUGACGUUACCCGCAGAAGAAGCACCGGCUAACUCCGUGCCAGCAGCCGCGGUAAUACGGAGGGUGCAAGCGUUAAUCGGAAUUACUGGGCGUAAAGCGCACGCAGGCGGUCUGUUAAGUCGGAUGUGAAAUCCCCGGGCUCAACCUGGGAACUGCAUUAGAAACUGGCAGGCUAGAGUCUUGUAGAGGGGGGUAGAACUCCAGGUGUAGCGGUGAAAUGCGUAGAGACCUGGAGGAAUACCGGUGGCGAAGGCGGCCCCCUGGACAAAGACUGACGCUCAGGUGCGAAAGCGUGGGGAGCAAACAGGAUUAGAUACCCGCGUAGUC